rnacentral:rRNA from 1 species
GAUGAACGCUGACAGAAUGCUUAACACAUGCAAGUCAACUUGAAUUUGGGUUUUUACCUUAGGUUUGGGUGGCGGACGGGUGAGUAACGCGUAAAGAACUUGCCCCACAGCUAGGGACAACAUUUGGAAACGAAUGCUAAUACCUAAUAUUAUGAUAAUAGGGCAUCCUAUAAUUAUGAAAGCUAUAAGCGCUGUGAGAGAGCUUUGCGUCCCAUUAGCUAGUUGGAGAGGUAACGGCUCACCAAGGCGAUGAUGGGUAGCCGGCCUGAGAGGGUGAUCGGCCACAAGGGGACUGAGACACGGCCCUUACUCCUACGGGAGGCAGCAGUGGGGAAUAUUGGACAAUGGACCAAGAGUCUGAUCCAGCAAUUCUGUGUGCACGAUGAAGUUUUUCGGAAUGUAAAGUGCUUUCAGUUGGGAAGAAAGAAAUGACGGUACCAACAGAAGAAGUGACGGCUAAAUACGUG